UUGUUUAUCUUGUCAAACCCUAGCCGCCUACAACAUUUCAGUAAAACCAUACCCAGUCAUCCACCAUUCUCCGACCACCAUCCCGUUUUGUUCCACGACGUCGUUUUGUCAGUAGGCACCGGCACAACUUGGAUGAUUAUAGGACAGCCUUAUCUCCCAUUUUCUCAUGAAGAGAUUGGUUUUGCAUUUAAAGGCUUUGAUGAUGAGAAUGGAUUUAUAGUUACACGGUUGGUUAUGGUGUACAAAGUUGUGAGCCUUUUUGUUCGUGUCUUGUUAGUGGACUAGCAAGUGGUUGGUGAGCAAUCGUCCAAACCGAAGUCGACUAAGUGCACGCCAAUCGAAGAAGAAGGCUUAGCCAAGGCUUACAUAGCACGUCUAACAACAAGACAAAAGGUAAUAAUCAAACGGGUGACGGGUUUUGGUCCAAGGUUUUGGCGAAGUUCCUCGACCUUAUGGACCAAGGCCCGUAUCGUGAUAUCGACUCGGUGUCGUCAAAGUGGCGGAAAUUGAACUCGUCCGUCAAUAGGUUUUGCGAGGAAUAUAAUAAAAUAUAUACAAGUGGGCGUCGUAGCGGCAUGAGCGACGACGAUGUUUUCAAACAAGCUUUCGACAAGUAUAAGGCGAACAAUGGUAAUACCAACUUUGCUCACGUUCGCGCGUGGGAAAUUAUGAAAAAGGAACCGAAAUGGUCGCCGAUUCCCAACGAGGUGGAGAUGGCGAAACGCCAAAAAACAUCGGAAACGGGUAGUUUUAGCGCCGGUGGAUCGGACGCGAGGUGUCACAUAAACUUAAAUGAUGACGCCGACCACAAGUGCUAUAAAUGUAUUUUUAACUUGUUUCAAAAAUGUAAAUUUCGCCACGACUUUAUUUACAAAAUAUCGGAGAUGGGAUUUUCACAAAAUAAAACGUGAUAAAUAUAUAUAUAUAUUUAGUAUA